CAGUAGCCGCGGUAAAACGAACCGUGCGAACGUUAUUCGGAAUCACUGGGCUUAAAGCGCGUGUAGGCGGGAGGGCACGUCCGUCGCUGAAAUCCCCCGGCUCAACCGGGGAACGGGCGCGGAUACGACUCUUCUGGAGGAACGUAGGGGGACCUGGAACUUCCGGUGGAGCGGUGAAAUGCGUUGAGAUCGGAAGGAACGCCCGUGGCGAAAGCGAGGUCCUGGACGUUUACUGACGCUGAGACGCGAAAGCCAGGGGAGCGAACGGGAUUAGAUACCCCCGUAGUCCCUGUCUCUUAUU
rnacentral:rRNA from 1 species